GUUCCCUGUGGUCUUAGCAGGUGCAUACGUAGAGGCUUUUAAGAUUGCUGUUAAAUUGGCAUUUGCUUGUUUGUUUGUUUGUUUGUUUGCUGUGGAGGCACUUAAAAUUGAGAUAUCAUGAUCUCAUCAAUUUCAUGCCUCUUUCUCGUCUUGUCUGUCGGAAUCUAAUGGAGUGCAGGCCUUUGACUAACGCCAGCCAUGGUCUGGGUCAACCUUGGUUAAUGCGCCCUUCAGAUCUAGACUUACCACAUGUCAUGAGAGAUGCAGACAAAUAGUCAACUAACCAAAUUGCCUAUACCCACCUGUCUCCCUCUCUCUCUCUCUCUGUUUCGUUUGCUCAUCCAUCCGAAAUCAACAGGUCCUUCAAUGGAGCAUUCCACUCCCAGGGCCAUCACCUCCAUCUUAGUGGCAGCUCUCCUCUUCUCAGCUCUCCUGGUCUCUCCAUCCCACUGCAGAGAAGUCCCAGUCCGCCAUCAUCCAAGCACAGGCGGAGAUGGUGAGGUGAGCACACAAGGAUCUGUGAGCCUGGGCAGGGAGUCACUGCUCACGCCACCUUCUCCUACAGCCAACAUGAGCCCCCCUGGAGGACCCUCCAGGUGAGCCAUGGCAUGGAGCUUCCUUCAAGGGUCUGCUUGCUUGCAUUACUACUACUCGUUCGUCUGUUUCAGUUUCUGUCUCAAUAAGAUCUGUCGUAGAAGGCAGUGAACAUGAGUGUUAAAAUGUUUCUUGUGGAUCCGAGUAACCUUUAUCUUACUUGGAGUCUCAGUUCAAGUUCUUUA